GGUGUCUUCCCGGCCGGGUGGCACUGACCGGUCAUGCUCAGGGCCCCCUUCUGGUUGCCGGUGCCUCACCUCUGGCCAGGUGGCAUCGGCUUCCGGGUAAAUCUGAGCUGCCCAAAGCGAGCCUCCGGAGGCUGCUCCAUCUCCUGGAACGUUUACUCAUUCAGGCCUCUGGACGUCGAUACUGGGGAUGAAAAGUUCAGAAAGUGGACAGAUUCCUGGUCUUCAGUCCAGACCUACUGAGUUAAAAUAUUGAGGAGAGAUGGAGCUCAACAGAUGCCCUAGGUGACUCUGAUGUGGCCUAAGUCUGGGGAAACAGUACACCCUGCAGUACUUCUCCAACCUAACAGAAAUGCGGAUUCUGAUUCGGUAGGUAUGGGAUGGGGCCCAUGACUCUACAUUUCUAACAGGCUCUCGGGUAUUGCCAAUGCUACCCAUCCCUGGACCAUACUUGGAGUAUGAGAGAACAGGACUUUGCAUCAAAAGAUCUGGGUUUGAACCUUGACUAUGUAAAUUAAUGGCUGUGUGAUUUUAAAUGUGAUGAGUUACCUCUCUGCCCUAGUUUCCUUAAGAGCAAAAUGGAAACUCCUUUGGAGUUGUUGUGUGGGUCACAUAGUUGGAGGGAAUUGUAUGUAACUAGGGAAGUGAAAAGAAAGCCAAGGGAAAAUAAAGUUAGA
rnacentral:lncRNA from 10 species